GCGAAAACUUUACAAUGCUGGCAACAGCGAUAAGGGAACCUCGAGUGCCAGGUUACAAAUCUGGCUGUCGAGAUGCCUAAAAAGCAUUUCAUAGCAAGGGCCGGGCAAGACCGGUGCCAGCCGCCGCGGUAACACCGGCGGCUCGAGUGGUAACCGUUAUUAUUGGGUCUAAAGGGUCUGUAGCCGGCCGGAUAAGUCUCUUGAGAAAUCUGGCAGCUUAACUGUCAGGCUUUCAGGAGAUACUGUCUGGCUCGAGGCCGGGAGAGGUGAGAGGUACCUCAGGGUAGGGGUGAAAUCUUGUAAUCCUUGAAGGACCACCAGUGGCGAAGGCGUCUCACCAGAGCGGACCUGACGGCAAGGGACGAAAGCUAGGGGCACGAACC
rnacentral:rRNA from 1 species